rnacentral:ncRNA from 1 species
UCAAUUAAGUGUUCAAGCGCUCAUGUUAUUUACAGUGACCCGAUCCAGCAAUAUCGCGUGGGUGAAGAAGGGCACUGUCGCUUAACAAGCUCUUUUGUGAGUUUAGAUCAUGAGAGGACUAGAGGAAGAAUUCGCUAAUAUAGGGGAGAGUGGAAUUUCGUGUGGAGGGAUCAAAUCCUAAGAUAUAAGAAGGAACGCCAACCGCUAAGAGAGCUCUCUGGGUCCCCAUUGACGCUGGGGUGAGAAAGCAUGGGGAGAAAACAUGAUGAGAUACCCUGGUAGUCCAUGCCGUAAGCGUGUUCAUCCUUGGUCUGCCUUCCUACUAAGUAGGAUUAGGAUCAGGGGGCAGCUAACGCCUGAAACACUCUGCCUGGGGAGUACAGUCGCAAGAUUGAAACUCAAAGGAAUUGACGGGGGUUGCACAAGCGGUGGAGCAUGUUGUUUAAUUGGAUACAACGCACAUAACCUUACCAGCUCUUGACAUAUGAACAAGUGUCCCUGUCCCUAACGGGCUGGUGAGAAAAUUCAUAUCGGUGUUGCAUGGCUGUUGAAAUUUCAUACUGAUCAAUGCCAUCACCUCUUCUCAAUGAAUCAAUAGGGUGAGGGUGAGAAACCGAAUAGCUCUCCCGACAUAGGUUAUUUAUUGCUCACCCAUAGGAGGGUGAGGAGAGCGUUUAACUCGUCUCGACUAAAGGGAGAGAAGGGCGAUGCCAGUGUCUCUGUUUUUUAAUUGAUGAAACUCCUAUGAAGGCAGGUGUGUGCCGCACUUAUAAGAGACUGCCAGUGAUAUGUUGGAGGAGGGUGGAGAUGACGUCAAGUCUUCAUGGCCUUUAUGGGCACAAGUGCUACAAUGGUAAUGACAAUGGGAAGCAAGGCCGUAAGGCAGAGCGAAUCCAUAAAGAUUGUCUCAAUUCGAAUUGUUCUCUGCAACUCGAGAACAUGAAGUCGGAAUCGUUAGUAAUCGCGGUGAAUAUGUACCCGGGCCCCGUACACACCACCACCUGUCAUACCCUCGGAGUUGAUUUUGCCAGAAGCAUCAGAUCAAUGAUCACCCUAUCUAUAUAUGUUCCACUAGUGUGGCCCAUGGAGGUUGGGGUGGUCUUAUUGGCGCAUACCACAGUGGGGUUUUCGACUGGGGUGAAGUCGUAAAAAGGUAGUAGUAGAGGAAACUGUGGCUGGAUCGAUUCCCUC